rnacentral:rRNA from 1 species
GACGAACGCUGGCGGCGUGCUUAACACAUGCAAGUCGAACGGAAAGGCCUCUUUCGGGGGGUACUCGAGUGGCGAACGGGUGAGUAACACGUGAGUAACCUGCCCUUGACUUUGGGAUAACUUCAGGAAACUGGGGCUAAUACCGGAUAGGAGCUCCUGCUGCAUGGUGGGGGUUGGAAAGUUUCGGCGGUUGGGGAUGGACUCGCGGCUUAUCAGCUUGUUGGUGGGGUAGUGGCUUACCAAGGCUUUGACGGGUAGCCGGCCUGAGAGGGUGACCGGCCAGAUUGGGACUUAGAUACGGCCCAGACUCCUACGGGAGGCAGCAGGGGGGAAUAUUGCACAAUGGGUGGAAGCCUGAUGCAGCAACGCCGUGUGCGGGAUGACGGACUUCGGGUUGGAAACCGCUUUCGCUCAUGACGAAGCUUUGUGUGACGGUAGUGGGUAAAGAAGCACCGGCUAACUACGUG